rnacentral:rRNA from 1 species
UCGAGCGGCCGUAGCAAUACGGCAGCGGCAGACGGGUGAGUAACACGUGGGAACGUGCCUUUCGGUUCGGAAUAUCCCAGGGAAACCUGGGGCAAUACCGGAUACGCCCUUACGGGGAAAGAUUUAUCGCCGAAAGAUCGGCCCGCGUCUGAUUAGCUAGUUGGUGGGGUAACGGCCCACCAAGGCGACGAUCAGUAGCUGGUCUGAGAGGAUGAUCAGCCACACUGGGACUGAGACACGGCCCAGACUCCUACGGGAGGCAGCAGUGGGGAAUAUUGGACAAUGGGGGAAACCCUGAUCCAGCCAUGCCGCGUGAGUGAUGAAGGCCCUAGGGUUGUAAAGCUCUUUCGGCGGGGAAGAUAAUGACGGUACCCGCAGAAGAAGCCCCGGCUAACUUCGUGCCAGCAGCCGCGGUAAUACGAAGGGGGCUAGCGUUGCUCGGAAUCACUGGGCGUAAAGCGCACGUAGGCGGGUCCUUAAGUCAGGGGUGAAAUCCUGGAGCUCAACUCCAGAACUGCCUCUGAUACUGAGGAUCUUGAGUCCGGGAGAGGUGAGUGGAACUGCGAGUGUAGAGGUGAA